UCCCUGGUAGUAUAUCGGUUAGUACACGCGCCUGUCAUAGGGACCUGUCGAGUACGGCCGCGCGAAAGCUGGGUUCGACUCCCAGCCAGGAGAU